rnacentral:rRNA from 1 species
UGGGGAAUAUUGCGCAAUGGGCGAAAGCCUGACGCAGCAACGCCGCGUGAGUAAUGAAGGCCUUCGGGUCGUAAAGCUCUGUCGGAGGGAACGAAUGCUCCUGAAGUUAACAGCCUCAGGAGGUGACGGUACCCUCAAAGGAAGCACCGGCUAACUCUGUGCCAGCAGCCGCGGUAAUACAGAGGGUGCAAGCGUUAUCCGGAUUCAUUGGGUUUAAAGGGUGCGUAGGCGGACUGAUAAGUCAGUGGUGAAAUCUCUCGGCUUAACCGAGAAACUGCCAUUGAUACUGUUAGUCUAGAGUACAGAUGAUGUGGGCGGAAUAUGACAUGUAGUGGUGAAAUACUUAGAUAUGUCAUAGAACACCGAUUGCGAAGGCAGCUCACAAAACUG